rnacentral:rRNA from 1 species
GAUGAACGCUGGCGGCGUGCCUAAUACAUGCAAGUCGAGCGAACAGACGAGGAGCUUGCUCCUCUGACGAUAGCGGCGGACGGGUGAGUAACACGUGGAUACUCUACCUAUAAGACUGGGAUAACUUCGGGAAACCGGAGCUAAUCCCGGAUAAUAUAUUGAACCGUGUGGUUCAGUAGUGAAAGACGGUUUUGCUGUAACUUAUAGAUGGAUCCGUGCCGCAUUAGCUAGUUGGCAAGGUAACGGCUUACCAAGGCAACGAUGCGUAGCCGACCGGAGAGGAUGAGCAGCCACCCUGGAACUGAGACACGGCCCAGACUCCUACGGGAGGCAGCAGUAGGGAAUCGGCCGCAAGGGGCGAAAGCCUGACGGAGCAACGCCGCGUGAGUGAGGAGGGUCUUCGGAUCGGAAAACUCUGUUUUUAGGUAAGAACAAAUGUGUAAUUGACUAUGCACGUCUUGACGGUACCUAAUCAGAAAGCCACGGCUAACUACGUG